UCCGGUUUGGCACCGGCAGUCCCCCUAGAGUGCCCGACUUUACUCGCUGGUAACUAGGGGCGGGGGUUGCGCUCGUUGCGGGACUUAACCCAACAUCUCACGACACGAGCUGACGACAGCCAUGCAGCACCUGUGCAGGGACUCCGAAGAGGGGCCGGCGUCUCUGCCGGCUUUCCCCUGCAUGUCAAGCCUAGGUAAGGUUCUUCGCGUUGCGUCGAAUUAAACCACAUGCUCCACCGCUUGUGCGGGCCCCCGUCAAUUCCUUUGAGUUUCAGCCUUGCGGCCGUACUCCCCAGGCGGGGCACUUACUGCGUUAGCGACGGCACUCAGAGGGUCGCUCCCCCAAGCACCUAGUGCCCAUCGUUUACGGCGUGGACUAC
rnacentral:misc_RNA from 1 species